GCCAGCCCGGCAUGUCUGUUAGCCGCGAGGCUAACUAGGCAUUUGCCCUGGGCAUUUGGGGGCGGCGUUUUUGCCGCCCCCUGUAAAAUGCCGCCCAAGGCAAAUGCCUUGUUUGCCUCGCGGCUAAUACGUCCCUGGCUCUGGGGCUGUUUGCAGCAGGGAUUUGCAAAUCUGCAACCAUAGCUUCAUCUUCCCUAUAUACGAAAGAAAAAUAAUUAUUUAGAAUUUCUGCCUUUUUCUGACACCUGGGUAUUUAUUAGCUCUUCAGUGGAAGUGGCCAUCCUGGGAGUAUUGAAGGAAGCUGGC